CUUCAUCCUUGUCUUUCUUCUCAUCAUCAUCCUCAUCCUCAUUUUCAAGCAGAUCAAAUGCAGAACUCCUCAUCCUGCCACCCUUAUUCGACUUCUUUUUCUUGUCCGUGAAAGUAAUAGGUUCAUCAUCUUCAUCUUUGUCUUCCUUCAAAUCAUCAUUUUCAUUGACAAGCAGAUCGAAAGCAGAACUGUUCUUGCCACUCUUCUUUGAUUUCUUUUUCUUGUCUGUGAAAAUAACAGGUUCAUCUUCUUCAUCUUUGUCUUCCCUCACAUCCUCAUCUUCAUCAUCAAGAAGAUCAAAAGCAGAGGCCGAAAAUCCAGUAGUACCGCUCUUCUUCUUGCCACCUUUCUUUGACUUCUCCACCACAUCAUCAUCAUCAUCAUCACUCUCCUCCACAGAAUGAUCAUCAUCAAUCACCUCACUUUCACUACCACCAUCAACUGCAUCAAAAGCCGCUGCCGUAAACAGACUACCACUCUUAUUCCCACCUUUCUUCAAACCCUCCUUCGUUUUACCCUUACUCGCCAGAGAAACAUACUUCCCCUCACUAAGUUUAUCCCCUGAAU
rnacentral:lncRNA from 1 species